GGACCCGCACAAGUAGUGGAGCAUGUGGUUUAAUUCGAAGAUACGCGCAGAACCUUACCAACACUUGACAUGUUCGUCGCGACUCUAAGAGAUUAGAGUUUUCGGUUCGGCCGGACGAAACACAGGUGCUGCAUGGCUGUCGUCAGCUCGUGUCGUGAGAUGUUGGGUUAAGUCCCGCAACGAGCGCAACCCUCACUUUUAGUUGCCAUCAUUUAGUUGGGCACUCUGAAAGAACUGCCAGUGAUAAGCUGGAGGAAGGUGGGGAUGACGUCAAGUCCUCAUGGCCCUUACGUGUUGGGCUACACACGUGCUACAAUGGUAUCUACAACAGGAAGCAAGACUGCGAGGUCAAGCAAAUCCUUAAAAGAUACCUCAGUUCGGAUUGCACUCUGCAACUCGAGUGCAUGAAGCUGGAAUU
rnacentral:rRNA from 1 species